rnacentral:lncRNA from 1 species
UGGGAAGAGAGAUGAAAUGUUGUCAUCUUCACAAAAGUCGUAGCAACCAAAGAAAAGAAAAAAGAAGAAAACUUAGGGUAUGUUUGGUUCACUGUAAUUGAAUAUGGUUGUAAUUGAAUAGGGAUGUAAUCAAUAAUUUAAUUGUUUGUCCUCCAAAGUAUCACAAGUUUGAGCAUGUGAGCCUGACAUACAGAUGCAUAAUUUCGGUUAAAAAUAUUGUCCAAGCUUAUUGAUAUGAAAUACAUCUCCAAAAUUAUUUUUUUAGGGGGGGCAAAUCUUAAAUGAAAAUGAUAAAAAAUAAGUACAUGCAGAAGAAACUCAAAGAAACAUCCACCAAUUUUGUAAGCAAUCAAUAUCGGUGAAAUCAAUACAAUUCACACUACUAAUUAUAGAUAUACAGAGUCUUCAUUGCUAAGAGAAAAUCAUGAAUGCUGGUACAGAUGCCAAGAUUGUUGAAACACUAAGCAAUGGCAAAUUUACUAGUAAAAUGAUUUCCUCAUCUCCCCCGCCUUUGUUUUCUUUUUCUUUUUCUUGCUCAAAAACUCUGUAACUGAUUCAAAGCUCAAAAUCCAAAACCCCUUCAACCCAUUUACCACAAACAACAAAUUCCAACUUUAAAUUGAAAUCCCUUACUAUCGAGACAAGCAACUUGAAAUCCCUUACAAUAAACAGAAAUGCCUAACAAUUCGAAAAAACCAAGCUUAGCUUUCUAGCUCUAAAUUGCCCUAAAAUAAUCGGAUCAACCAAUCGACCAAUUUUUUUUCGAAAACUCAUUUUUUUCACAGCUCCAUUCUAAUGAAAUACAAGUAGAGAAGCAAAGAGAUGAAAUUCUCACAAUGGAGUUGAGAUUGAGGGGAAUAAUAACCUUACUCGUUCAACUUUGGGGAAGCUUUUUACAAUGUCGAGAUCUCUGUCGAUGAUGGUCGUGGGAUGAGAAUAACUAAACGAGAACUAGGAGACAGGGUUGGGGUGUGGUGGCUUGAGGUGUUCACUGAGGGAGAGUGGUAAAGGGCAAAAAUAGGAGGUUAUGUUUUUUUUCUUAUUCGGUGGAGGCUCUGUAUUGCUAUUCUUUAGAUCAGGUGGGGAAUGGCUAUUACGGGAGGAGGCAGAAUGGGAGAUGAAUGAAAUUAUGUCGAUUGGAGGAUUUGGUGAACCAAACUAAUGAAUAGCUGGGGUUUUU